ACAGGUGGCUGCAUGGCUGUCGUCAGCUCGUGUCGUGAGAUGUUGGGUUAAGUCCCGCAACGAGCGCAACCCUUGCCUUUAGUUGCCAGCAGUUCGGCUGGGCACUCUAAAGGGACUGCCGGUGUUAAACCGGAGGAAGGUGGGGAUGACGUCAAGUCCUCAUGGCCUUUAUGACCAGGGCUACACACGUACUACAAUGGCCGAUACAAAGGGCAGCGACACUGCGAGGUGAAGCCAAUCCCGUAAAAUCGGUCUCAGUCCGGAUUGGAGUCUGCAACUCGACUCCAUGAAGUUGGAAUCGCUAGUAAUCGUGGAUCAGCAUGCCACGGUGAAUACGUUCCCGGGCCUU
rnacentral:rRNA from 1 species